UACGCAGGGUGCGAGCGUUGUUCGGAAUCACUGGGCUUAAAGCGUGCGUAGGCGGCUUUGUAAGUCUGAUGUGAAAGCCCAGGGCUCAACCUUGGAAUUGCUUUUGAGACUGCAAGUCUAGAAUUCGGUAGAGGCUAGUGGAAUGUCCAGUGUAGAGGUGAAAUUCGCAGAUAUUGGACGGGACACCAGUGGCGAAGGCGACUAGCUGGGCCGAUAUUGACGCUGAGGCACGAAAGCGUGGGUAGCAAACAGG
rnacentral:rRNA from 1 species